AUUGAACGCUGGCGGCAUGCCUUACACAUGCAAGUCGAACGGCAGCACGGGUGCUUACACCUGGUGGCGAGUGGCGAACGGGUGAGUAAUACAUCGGAACGUACCUUACCGUGGGGGAUAACGCAGCGAAAGUUGCGCUAAUACCGCAUACGCCCUGAGGGGGAAAGCGGGGGACCGUAAGGCCUCGACCGAUUAGAGCGGCCGAUGUCUGAUUAGCUUGUUGGUGAGGUAAAAGCUCACCAAGGCGAUGAUCAGUAGCUGGUCUGAGAGGACGAUCAGCCACACUGGGACUGAGACACGGCCCAGACUCCUACGGGAGGCAGCAGUGGGGAAUUUUGGACAAUGGGGGCAACCCUGAUCCAGCAAUGCCGCGUGAGUGAAGAAGGCCUUCGGGUUGUAAAGCUCUUUUGUCAGGGAAGAAACAGCAGCUCUAACACAGUCUGCGAAUGACGGUACCUGAAGAAUAAGCACCGGCUAACUACGUGCCAGCCGCCGCAGUAA
rnacentral:rRNA from 1 species